GAUGAAGAACGUAGCGAAAUGCGAUAAGUAGUGUGAAUUGCAGAAUUCAGUGAAUCAUCGAAUCUUUGAACGCACAUUGCGCCCGCCAGUAUUCUGGCGGGCAUGCCUGUUCGAGCGUCAUUUCAACCAUCAAGCCCCCCGGCUUGUGUUGGGGACCUGCGGCUGCCGCAGGCCCUGAAAAGCAGUGGCGGGCUCGCUGUCACACCGAGCGUAGUAGAUCUCAUCUCGCUCAGGGCGUGCUGCGGGUUCCGGCCGUUAAACCACCUUCAUAACCCAAGGUUGACCUCGGAUCAGGUAGGAAGACCCGCUGAACUUAAGCAUAUCAAUAAGCGGAGGA
rnacentral:misc_RNA from 1 species